GCACUACUCAAGUACUUCAAAAUUAUUUUAUAGCUUUCCCAACCAGGCCAAUUUUUUGUUGAUUAGGAACUAAGUGUUUGAAACUUGCAUACAUCUACUAAAUGUUGUCCGCUUAUUUUGAGUUUUUGUUGCAUAAUAAGAUGGUCUUGUUUCAUGUUUUGUUUUUGUUAUUUGUCGCCUGCGAAGGAAAGUUGCAGCUACCGAAGAAUGCAGCUGUGAAGGCUGUUUUUGCUUUUGGAGAUUCUAUCGUCGAUCAAGGAAAUAAUAAUCACAUUACGACAGUUGUUAAAUGUAAUUUUGAACCAUAUGGGAAGGACUUCAUGGGUGGAAAACCUUCUGGAAGGUUUAGCAAUUCCAAGACACCCUCCGACUUGAUAGUCAGUCAUACCUCUAUCAACACAAUUAGAUCAUUUUAGAGAAUACAUUGGGAAGCUUAAGGAAUUGGUUAGACAAGGAGAAGCGAAAGACAUAUUGAGCAAUAGCUUGUUCUUCGUUGUAGCCGACAGCGAUGACCUCACCAAUACCUAUUUCACUAUCGGAAUUCGUCGGCUGCAGUAUGGUCUUAAUGCAUACACUGAUCUUAUGGUGUCCGGAGCUUCCGACUUUGUCCAAGUAUAUAUUCUCUUGUACAAGCUAAGAGGAAUUGUUUGACGAAGUGGACUUUGGUUGGUCUAUGGCGUAGACGAUUUGAACUCCUCGAGUUGUGGUAGAACUUGUGGUGUGGUAAAAUGCCAAGGUAAUGUGCGGGAAGAGAUGUGAAGAUGGACAUUUGGAGUAGACUUUUUGGGAGCCUUAGUGAAGAUCACAUUUGCAUAUGCAUCUAGGUCUUGUAAAUUUUGGGGACUUGUACAUGAUCCAUGUGUGACACUUAUGUAUGAAAUUUUGAAGGCUUGUUGGACGCAAGACCAUAUGCUUGUAACUUGAACUUGGUGACUUGUUUUGCUAUUUUAGGCUGUGCUACCAACCCAAGUCAUGCCAUGUAUUGGGUUUACAUUUUUCCUUGUAAUUAUGUACAAAGGAAGAUACUAGUUUCUAUGAUAAUCGCAAGUUUGAGUUUUGUGUAUCUUAUG